GACGAACGCUGGCGGCGUGCCUAACACAUGCAAGUCGAACGAAGCAUAGCAAUAUGCUUAGUGGCGGACGGGUGAGUAACGCGUGAACAAUCUGCCCUGUACAAAGGAAUAGCCUCGGGAAACCGGGAUUAAAACCGUAUGACACUUUAGUAUCGCAUGAUAAGAAAGUCAAAUCGAUUAGAGGUAUGGGAUGAGUUCGCGUCUGAUUAGCUGGUUGGCGGGGUAACGGCCCACCAAGGCGACGAUCAGUAGCCGGCCUGAGAGGGUGAACGGCCACACUGGAACUGAGACACGGUCCAGACUCCUACGGGAGGCAGCAGUGGGGAAUAUUGCACAAUGGAGGGAACUCUGAUGCAGCGACGCCGCGUGAGUGAAGAAGGUCUUCGGGAUCGUAAAACUCUGUCCUUGGUGAAGAAAAGGACGGUAGCCAAGGAGGAAGCCCCGGCUAACUACGUG
rnacentral:rRNA from 1 species